rnacentral:rRNA from 1 species
GCACAGGGGAGCUUGCUCCCUGGGUGACGAGCGGCGGACGGGUGAGUAAUGUCUGGGAAACUGCCUGAUGGAGGGGGAUAACUACUGGAAACGGUAGCUAAUACCGCAUAACGUCGCAAGACCAAAGAGGGGGACCUUCGGGCCUCUUGCCAUCAGAUGUGCCCAGAUGGGAUUAGCUAGUAGGUGGGGUAAUGGCUCACCUAGGCGACGAUCCCUAGCUGGUCUGAGAGGAUGACCAGCCACACUGGAACUGAGACACGGUCCAGACUCCUACGGGAGGCAGCAGUGGGGAAUAUUGCACAAUGGGCGCAAGCCUGAUGCAGCCAUGCCGCGUGUGUGAAGAAGGCCUUCGGGUUGUAAAGCACUUUCAGCGAGGAGGAAGGUGGUGAACUUAAUACGUUCAUCAAUUGACGUUACUCGCAGAAGAAGCACCGGCUAACUCCGUGCCAGCAGCCGCGGUAAUA